GACGAACGCUGGCGGCGUGCUUAACACAUGCAAGUCGAACGGGAUUUAGUAGACAGAAGCCUCGGCUAAAGAUUACUAAUGAGAGUGGCGAACGGGUGAGUAACGCGUGAGCAACCUGCCUAUGACAGUGGGAUAGCCUCGGGAAACCGGGAUUAAUACCGCAUAAAAUCGUAGAAGCACAUGUUUUAACGGUCAAAGAUUUAUCGGUCAUAGAUGGGCUCGCGUCUGAUUAGCUAGUUGGUGAGAUAACAGCCCACCAAGGCGACGAUCAGUAGCCGGUCUGAGAGGAUGAACGGCCACAUUGGAACUGAGACACGGUCCAAACUCCUACGGGAGGCAGCAGUGGGGAAUAUUGCACAAUGGGGGAAACCCUGAUGCAGCGACGCCGCGUGAACGAAGAAGGUAUUCGUAUCGUAAAGUUCUGUCCUAUGGGAAGAUAAUGACAGUACCAUAGAAGAAAGCUCCGGCUAAAUACGUG
rnacentral:rRNA from 1 species